rnacentral:rRNA from 1 species
UUGCUCUUCAACGAGGAAUUCCUAGUAAGCGCAAGUCAUCAGCUUGCGUUGACUACGUCCCUGCCCUUUGUACACACCGCCCGUCGCUACUACCGAUUGAAUGGCUUAGUGAGGACUUGGGAGAGUACAUCGGGGAGCUGGCAACAGCACCCUGACGGCUCAAACUCUUACAAACUUGGUCAUUUAGAGGAAGUAAAAGUCGUAACAAGGUAUCUGUAGGUGAACCUGCAGAUGGAUCAUUUCGAUGAAAACCUUUUUUCUGAGGUGUGGCUCGCACCUGUCCAACUAAACUGGGCUACCAUUUUCAACACGGUUGCAUCGGUUGGGCCUGUCAAGGAGUGCCAUUUUGGCGCUUCGAGACGGACUCGACACUUUACACAAAACACUUUUGAUGAUCUAGGAUUUGAAUGAAAGUUCAUUUUUUAUGAUGGAACCGACUGGUAAUGCGGUCGUCUAAAUCUAAGAAACAACUUUUGGCAACGGAUCUCUUGGUUCUCCCAUCGAUGAAGAACGCAGCGAAUUGCGAUAAGUAAUGUGAAUUGCAGAAGUGAAUCAUCGAAUCUUUGAACGCACCUUGCGCUCCCGGCAGAUCUAAUCUGGGGAGCAUGCCUGUUUGAGGGCCGCGAAUUGUUUCGAACGUCGACUUUUUUCACGAAGAGUCAACGGAUCGGUAUUGAGGGUCUUUGCCAUUCACCGUGGCUCCCUCGAAAUGCAUUAGCGCAUCCAUUUGAUAGGCAAGACGGACGAAAGCUCGACUUUUGUUUCCUCUUUCCUGCCGGGUUUUGAUAAUAUCAGGACUUCGGAGGCAGAGAGGAAACGUGAGCUGGACGUAACGUUUUGCUGGUUGGAGUGCUUCUGAACCCCGCCUUUUUUCGUUAGGAAAGAGGAUUUAUUUUCAAUUCAUCGGCCUCAGAUUGGUAGGGCUACCCGCUGAACUUAAGCAUAUCAAUAAGCGGAGGA